GAAAGUUCAUCUUAGCAAAUUUUAAUCAAUGGAAUAGAGAUUCGACUAAAAUCCCUUGGUCCUUUAGGGGUUAAAGAUGAGGAUAUAGGGGAUGGGAAUGCAGAUGAUGAUAAAGACGUAUUCUUUUCUUUUUAUUUGCCUUUGAAGAUUUAUCUUGCCUUGCUUUACUCACAUUUGUUGUAGCAAUGGUGACAAUACAAAACAAAUAAUCAUUCCAAUUGCCAUUAUGGAAAUAAAAACCUUGCUAAAAUAAUUUGACUUACAUUAUAAAAAUCAACAAAAUAAAUAAGAUAAGUACAAAAAUACCACAUAAGCAUUCAAUUAAACCUACAAAUAAUAAGUAUGAGGUGAGCAUGGGAUCCAAAAGAUGUGUUGUCAAGACUAAAGAACUCCUCAACUUUGAUUCCAAUAUAUACCUACUCAAAAGUAAAAAUAACCAUAACAUAAAAGAAACUCUAAAAUAAAAAAGUAAACUAUCUAAAAUAAAAGUAAUUAGAAAUUUUCAACUCUCCAACUCUCUAACCUCUCAACUCUCCAACCCUCCAACUCUCUGACUCUCCAAUUCUCCAACUCUCCGAUUCUCCAAUUCUCCAACUCUCCAACUCUCCAAUUCUCCAACUCUCCGACUCUCCAAUUCUCCAACUCUCCGACUAUCAAACUCACCAACUCUCAAACUCUCCAAUUCUCCAACUCUCCGACUCUCCAAUUCUCCAACCCUCCGACUCUCCAAUUCUCCAACUCUCCAACU
rnacentral:lncRNA from 1 species